rnacentral:rRNA from 1 species
AUUGAACGCUGGCGGCAGGCUUAACACAUGCAAGUCGAACGAUGACUAACUAGCUUGCUAGUUAUGAUUAGUGGCGGACGGGUGAGUAACAUUUAGGAAUCUGCCUAGUAGUGGGGGAUAGCUCGGGGAAACUCGAAUUAAUACCGCAUACGACCUACGGGUGAAAGGGGGCGCAAGCUCUUGCUAUUAGAUGAGCCUAAAUCAGAUUAGCUAGUUGGUGGGGUAAAGGCCUACCAAGGCGACGAUCUGUAACUGGUCUGAGAGGAUGAUCAGUCACACCGGAACUGAGACACGGUCCGGACUCCUACGGGAGGCAGCAGUGGGGAAUAUUGGACAAUGGGGGCAACCCUGAUCCAGCCAUGCCGCGUGUGUGAAGAAGGCCUUUUGGUUGUAAAGCACUUUAAGCAGGGAGGAGAGGCUAAUGGUUAAUACCCAUUAGAUUAGACGUUACCUGCAGAAUAAGCACCGGCUAACUCUGUGCCAGCAGCCGCGGUAAUACAGAGGGUGCGAGCGUUAAUCGGAAUUACUGGGCGUAAAGCGAGUGUAGGUGGCUCAUUAAGUCACAUGUGAAAUCCCCGGGCUUAACCUGGGAACUGCAUGUGAUACUGGUGGUGCUAGAAUAUGUGAGAGGGAAGUAGAAUUCCAGGUGUAGCGGUGAAAUGCGUAGAGAUCUGGAGGAAUACCGAUGGCGAAGGCAGCUUCCUGGCAUAAUAUUGACACUGAGAUUCGAAAGCGCGGGUAGCAAACAGGAUUAGAUACCCUGGUAGUCCACGCCGUAAACGAUGUCUACUAGCCGUUGGGGUCCUUGAGACUUUAGUGGCGCAGUUAACGCGAUAAGUAGACCGCCUGGGGAGUACGGCCGCAAGGUUAAAACUCAAAUGAAUUGACGGGGGCCCGCACAAGCGGUGGAGCAUGUGGUUUAAUUCGAUGCAACGCGAAGAACCUUACCUGGUCUUGACAUAGUGAGAAUCCUGCAGAGAUGCGGGAGUGCCUUCGGGAAUUCACAUACAGGUGCUGCAUGGCUGUCGUCAGCUCGUGUCGUGAGAUGUUGGGUUAAGUCCCGCAACGAGCGCAACCCUUUUCCUUAUUUGCCAGCGGGUUAAGCCGGGAACUUUAAGGAUACUGCCAGUGACAAACUGGAGGAAGGCGGGGACGACGUCAAGUCAUCAUGGCCCUUACGACCAGGGCUACACACGUGCUACAAUGGUAGGUACAGAGGGUUGCUACACAGCGAUGUGAUGCUAAUCUCAAAAAGCCUAUCGUAGUCCGGAUUGGAGUCUGCAACUCGACUCCAUGAAGUCGGAAUCGCUAGUAAUCGCAGAUCAGAAUGCUGCGGUGAAUACGUUCCCGGGCCU